rnacentral:rRNA from 1 species
CAGCCGCCGCGGGAAUACGUAGGGUGCAAGCGUUAAUCGGAAUUACUGGGCGUAAAGCGUGCGCAGGCGGUUAUGCAAGACAGAGGUGAAAUCCCCGGGCUCAACCUGGGAACUGCCUUUGUGACUGCAUAGCUAGAGUGCGGCAGAGGGGGAUGGAAUUCCGCGUGUAGCAGUGAAAUGCGUAGAUAUGCGGAGGAACACCGAUGGCGAAGGCAAUCCCCUGGGCCUGCACUGACGCUCAUGCACGAAAGCGUGGGGAGCAAACAGGAUUAGAUACCCGCGUAGUCCCUGUCUCUUAUAC